rnacentral:rRNA from 1 species
UACGUAGGGGGCGAGCGUUGUCCGGAUUUACUGGGCGUAAAGCGCGCGUAGGCGGAGCGUUAAGUCCGGUCUGAAAGCCCCCGGCUCAACCGGGGAAGGUGGCUGGAAACUGGCGUUCUGGAGGGCGGCAGAGGCGUGUGGAAUUCAUGGUGUAGCAGUGAAAUGCGUAGAGAUCAUGAGGAAGACCAGUGGCGAAGGCGGGUCUCUGGACAGUUCCUGACACUGAGGCACGAAGGCCAGGGGAGCAAACGGG